rnacentral:lncRNA from 1 species
AUGGGGGUACUCCAGCUGGUACAGUGCAUGGGCGGGGCUGGUCCCACCUGCCUUCUCCCCUCCGUGCCCUGCAGUGGAUGGUGCCUGGAGCGAGUGGGCGACGUGGGCGAACUGCACCCAGGACUGCCGCGGGGUGGUGGUGCGGCGCCGGGAGUGCAUCCCGCCCCGGAACGGGGGCCAGCACUGCUCUGAGCUGCCCGGAGUCUCGCCCAGCACGCUGGAGAUCAAGCCCUGCCAGCUGGAAGGCUGCCUCAAUGCCACCGCCUGCCCCGCGGGCCUGGUGCGCAGGCCUUGUGCCCCAUGCCCCAUGUCCUGUGCCGAUCUGGCCAGCAGGGGCAAGUGCAAGAGAGACAGGCCCUGCAGCCCAGGCUGCUGGUGCCCGGAGGGGCUGGUGCUGGACAGUGAGCAGCAGUGUGUGCGCCCCCGGGAGUGCCCAUGCCUGGUGGAGGGGGUGCGCCACUGGCCUGGCCAGCUGGUGA